rnacentral:rRNA from 1 species
UACGUAGGGUGCGAGCGUUAAUCGGAAUUACUGGGCGUAAAGGGCGCGUAGGCGGCCUUCUAAGUCGGACGUGAAAUCCCUCGGCUUAACCGAGGAACUGCGUCCGAUACUGAAAGGCUUGAAUCCGGGAGAGGGAUGUGGAAUUCCAGGUGUAGCGGUGAAAUGCGUAGAUAUCUGGAGGAACACCGGUGGCGAAGGCGGCAUCCUGGACCGGCAUUGACGCUGAGGCGCGAAAGCUAGGGGAGCAAACGGG